UACGUAGGGCGCAAGCGUUUGUCCGGAAUUAUUGGGCGUAAAGAGCUCGUAGGCGGUCUGUUACGUCUGCUGUGAAAACCCGGGGCUUAACCCUGGGCUUGCAGUGGAUACGGGCAGACUAGAGGCAGGUAGGGGAGAAUGGAAUUCCCGGUGUAGCGGUGAAAUGCGCAGAUAUCAGGAGGAACACCGGUGGCGAAGGCGGGUCUCUGGGCAAUUCCUGACGCUGAGGCGCGAAAGCGUGGGGAGCAAACGGG
rnacentral:rRNA from 1 species